rnacentral:rRNA from 1 species
CCCUGCCAUUUGUACACACCGCCCGUCGCACCUACCGAUUGAAUGAUUCGGUGAAAAUUUCGGACUGCAGCAUGGAUACUUUCGGGUGACUGUGCCGUGGGAAGUUAUUUAAACCUCAUCAUUUAGAGGAAGGUGAAGUCGUAACAAGGUUUCCG